AACGCACAUUGCGCCCUGUGGUAUUCCACAGGGCAUGCCUGUUUGAGCGUCAUUUCUCCCUCAAACCUCUGGUUUGGCGUUGAGUGAUACUCGGUUUACUUGAAAUACAUGAAAAGCAUAACUAUUAGGUUUUACCAACUCGUUAUACUAAUCUACAAGUUUGACCUCAAAUCAGGUAGGACUACCCGCUGAACUUAA
rnacentral:misc_RNA from 1 species